GGGGUUGUGGCUCAGUGGUAGAGCACUUGCUUAGCAUGCAUGAGGCACUGAGUUCGAUCCCG
rfam:Ictidomys tridecemlineatus contig085330, whole genome shotgun sequence.